rnacentral:lncRNA from 1 species
UCAGAUAUGCUUAUGGUUAAUCAUUGCUGAUUGCCAUGGAUAAUUGUACUCUGUACAUAUUGCAUGUAUAAGUCAGGUAUGAAAGGCUGAUAACCUUCAUUACCAGUUGGUCCAGAUAUAUUUGUUCAUGUUCAAUACUUGUUCAGUCAAAAAUUUGUUCGUGCUAGUUCUUAAUUAUAUUGAUGAAUUAUAGCCAGCUUAUUAUUCA